rnacentral:rRNA from 1 species
AGGAUGAACGCUGGCGGCGUGCCUAAUACAUGCAAGUCGAACGAAGAUGUUCUUGUGUUCGCAUGAGAGCUCUUAGUGGCGGACGGGUGAGUAACGCGUUGGUGACCUGCCCUAAAGAAGGGAACAACCUCGGGAAACUGAGGCUAAUACCCUAUGUGCUUCAAGAGAUUAGAUCCUUUUGAAGUAAAGGUUCUGUGGACGAAAGGCCACAGUGUCGCUUUAGGAGGGGCCUGCGUCCCAUCAGCUAGUUGGUAGGGUAAUGGCCUACCAAGGCGAUGACGGGUAGGGGACCUGAGAGGGUGACCCCCCACACUAGCACUGAAACACGGGCUAGACACCUACGGGUGGCAGCAGUAGGGAAUCUUGCACAAUAGACGAAAGUCUGAUGCAGCAACGCCGCGUGUGCGAUGAAGGCCUUCGGGUUGUAAAGCACUUUUCUGAGGGAUGAGAAAGGACAGUACCUCAGGAAUAAGUCUCGGCUAACUACGUGCCAGCAGCCGCGGUAAUACGUAGGAGGCGAGCGUUAUCCGGAUUUAUUGGGCGUAAAGCGCGUGCAGGUGGUUUGGUAAGUUGGGUAUGAAAUCUCCUGGCUUAACUAGGAGAGGUUGCUCAAAACUACCAGACUAGAGGACGGUAGAGGAAGGUGGAAUUCCCGGUGUAGUAGUGAAAUGCGUAGAUAUCGGGAGGAACACCAGUGGCGAAGGCGGCCUUCUGGGCCGUUCCUGACACUAAGACGCGAAAGCAUGGGUAGCAAACGGGAUUAGAAACCCCGGUAGUCCAUGCCGUAAACGAUGUGGACUUGAUGUCGGCGAUGUAAAAGUUGUCGGUGUCGUANUUAACGCGAUAAGUCCACCGCCUGGGGAGUACGAUCGCAAGGUUAAAACUCAAAGGAAUUGANGGGGANCCGCACAAGCAGCGGAGCGUGUGGUUUAACUCGAUGCUACACGAANAACCUUACCUGGGNUUGACAUA